rnacentral:rRNA from 1 species
GUGACCGAUAGUGAACCAGUACCGUGAGGGAAAGGUGAAAAGAACCCCGGGAGGGGAGUGAAAGAGAACCUGAAACCAUAUGCUUACAAGAAGUCAGAGCCCGUUAAGGGGUGAUGGCGUGCCUUUUGUAGAAUGAGCCGGCGAGUUAUGAUAUGCAGCGAGGUUAAGCAGGAGAUGCGGAGCCGAAGCGAAAGCGAGUCUGAAUAGGGCGAGAGUUGUAUGUCAUAGACCCGAAACCGAGUGAUCUAGCCAUGAUCAGGUUGAAGUUGGGGUAAAACCCGAUGGAGGACCGAACCGACCCCCGUUGAAACGUUGGCGGAUGAAUUGUGGCUAGGGGUGAAAUUCCAAACGAACUCGGAGAUAGCUGGUUCUCCCCGAAAUAGCUUUAGGGCUAGCGUCAGAGUGAAAGUUAUGUGAAGGUAGAGCACUGAAUAUGUGAUGGCCUCAUCCCGAGGUACUGAAUAUAAUCAAACUCCGAAUGUCACAGGAACAUAUCUGGCAGUCAGACUGCGGGUGAUAAGGUCCGUAGUCAAAAGGGAAACAGCCCAGACCAUCAGCUAAGGUCCCAAAAUAUAUGCUAAGUGGAAAAGGAUGUGGAGAUGUCCAGACAACCAGGAGGUUGGCUCAGAAGCAGCCACCCUUUAAAGAGUGCGUAACAGCUCACUGGUCGAAUGACUCUGCGCCGAAAAUUUACCGGGGCUAAGCAUAAUACCGAAGCUAUGGAUUUAUACGACAAGUAUAAGUGGUAGGGGAGCGUUCCUGUCAGCGAGGAAGCAUGACCGCAAGGACAUGUGGAGCGGCAGGAAGAGAGAAUGCCGGUGUGAGUAGCGGAACGUGGGUGAGAAUCCCACGCACCGAAUACCCAAGGUUUCCAGAGGAAGGUUCGUCCGCUCUGGGUAAGUCGGGACCUAAGGCGAGGCCGAAAGGCGUAGUCGAUGGACAACGGGUGGAGAUUCCCGUACCUGAUGAAGAGGCAAUGGAGUGACGGAGCAGGCUAGGCGAUCCAGCUGCUGGAAUAGCUGGUGCAAGCGAGGUAGGGGACAUCCAGGCAAAUCCGGAUGUUGAAACCCGAAGGCGUGACGCGUAUGGAACAUUACGAUAAGUACAGAAGUCGCCGAAGCAAGCUUCCAAGAAAAGCUUCUAGCAAUCAACUCUUUGUCAGCCCGUACCGAAAAUGGACACACAUGGGUGAGGAGAGAAUCCUAAGGUGAGCGAGAGAACUAUAGCUAAGGAACUCUGCAAAAUGACUCCGUAACUUCGGGAGAAGGAGUGCUCAUUGAGAGAUGAGCCGCAGUAAAACGGCCCAAGCGACUGUUUACCAAAAACACAGCUCUCUGCCAAGACGCAAGUCGAAGUAUAGGGGGUGACGCCUGCCCGGUGCUGGAAGGUUAAGAGGAGUGGUCAGCGCAAGCGAAGCCAUGAAUUGAAGCCCCAGUAAACGGCGGCCGUAACUAUAACGGUCCUAAGGUAGCGAAAUUCCUUGUCAGGUAAGUUCUGACCCGCACGAAAGGCGUAACGAUUUGGGCGCUGUCUCAGCUGUAGACUCGGUGAAGUCUUAGUACCUGUGAAGAUGCAGGUUACCCGCGACUAGACGGAAAGACCCCAUGGAGCUUUACUGUAGCUUGAUAUUGGAUUUUGAUGCAUGAUGUACAGGAUAGGUAGGAGACGAAGAGACGGAUACGCCAGUAUUCGAGGAGUCGCCGUUGGGAUACUACCCUUCAUGUAUUGAAGUUCUAACCGGACGCCAUAAGCUGGCGACGGGACAGUGUCAGGUGGGCAGUUUGACUGGGGCGGUCGCCUCCCAAAGAGUAACGGAGGCGCCCAAAGAUACCCUCAGCAUGGUUGGAAAUCAUGCGUAGAGUGCAAAGGCAAAAGGGUGUUUGACUGCGAGACCAACAAGUCGAGCAGGGACGAAAGUCGGGCUUAGUGAUCCGGCGGUGCCGAAUGGAAGGGCCGUCGCUCAACGGAUAAAAGCUACCCUGGGGAUAACAGGCUGAUCUCCCCCAA